rnacentral:rRNA from 1 species
GACGAACGCUGGCGGCGUGCUUAACACAUGCAAGUCGAACGGAAAGGCCCUGCUUUUGUGGGGUGCUCGAGUGGCGACCGGGUGAGUAACACGUGAGUAACCUGUCCUUGACUUUGGGAUAACUUCAGGCAACUGGGGCUAAUACCGGAUAGGAGCUCCUGCUGCAUGGUGGGGGUUGGAAAGUUUCGGCGGUUGGGGAUGGACUCGCGGCUUAUCAGCUUGUUGGUGGGGUAGUGGCUUACCAAGGCUUUGACGGGUAGCCGGCCUGAGAGGGUGACCGGCCACAUUGGGACUGAGAUACGGCCCAGACUCCUACGGGAGGCAGCAGUGGGGAAUAUUGCACAAUGGGCGGAAGCCUGAUGCAGCAACGCCGCGUGCGGGAUGACGGCCUUCGGGUUGUAAACCGCUGUCGCCUGUGACGAAGCGUGAGUGACGGUAGUGGGUAAAGAAGCACCGGCUAACUACGUG